GAUUUCUGGUACGGUGCGCCUGACCCACUGUCGAAAGGCGUGUGAAGUGUCGGAGUGCGUCUGCCAUCCUUCUAGUUAGUCUAUCUCACUUCAGUGGGAGGUAGGUGACCUAGAUCUUUUACUUUGAAAAAAUUAGAGUGUUUAAAGCAGGCUUGCGCCUUGAAUACAUUAGCAUGGAAUAAUAAUUUAGGACUUUGUUCCUAUUUUGUUGGUUUUAAGGGAUAAAGUAAUGAUUGAUAGGGAUAGUUGGGGGUGCUAGUAUUCAUCGGCCAGAGGUGAAAUUCUUGGAUUCGAUGAAGACUAACUUAUGCGAAAGCAUU
rnacentral:rRNA from 1 species